rnacentral:rRNA from 1 species
CCCUUAGAUGUUCUGGGCCGCACGCGCGCUGCACUGAUGCAUUCAACGAGUGUACCUUGGCCGAGAGGCCUGGGCAAUCUUUUGAACGUGCAUCGUGAUAGGGAUAGAUUAUUGCAAUUAUUAAUCUUGAACGAGGAAUUCCUAGUAAACGCAGAUCAUCAAUCUGCAUUGAUUACGUCCCUGCCCUUUGUACACACCGCCCGUCGCACCUACCGAUUGGAUGGUCCGGUGAAGCCUCGGGAUUGUGGCGGUUGCCUUUAUUGGUGGCCGCCGCGAGAACUUGUCUAAACCUUAUCAUCUAGAGGAAGGUGAAGUCGUAACA